rnacentral:sRNA from 1 species
GCUGGGUGUGGUGGCAUAUGCCUGUAAUCCUAAGGACUUGGGAGGCUGGGGCAGGAGGAUUGCAAGUUCACAGCCAGCCUCAGCAAAUUAGUGAGGCCCUAAGCAAUUUAGUGAGACCCUGUCUCAA